CCUCCAGAACUGUAAGAAAAUACAUUUCUAUUGUUUGAGCCACACCAUCUGUGGUACUUUGUUAUGGCAGCUUCAGCAAAUUAAUACACCCACCAACAGAAGUUUCGCAGCCUUGAGGUUGGGACCUCAGCCCAGAAAUUCUGAAGGUAAUAAUCAAAAACUCAAAAGGCAAGAAAGCCUUAUAAUUCAGUUCCUCUUUCUGCAUCUUUCACAAGCGGCCUGCUGGCAGGUUUGGAAGGUGGCGCUGGAGACAGCCUGGAAUGAGCAAGCCCAGUGGGGUUGGAGGCUCCUGGCUCAGAAGAGGAGGGACUGAGAUUCAGAAGGCUUCACCCGGAUAAGGGAUCCAGCUCACAAGUUCAUCCUUACAAGGAUUUUCAGUUCUGCUAACAACACCUCUCUCUGUGGUUCUUGAAGGCUCUGGUGUAGGAAGAGUCACCAAAAACAAGCGGACGUUUCUCAGUGCUUCUCAGCUGAUGGAACUGUUCCCAGCAGCCUGGUGCGCAGCCCGAGGAGGUGGCUGGCCCUCAGCUGGGUGAUUCCAUUCCCCAGUCACUGCUUGGUCCAGGAGGUUCUGGUAUUUUUCCUCCCUUCUCCCGGGGCGGCCUCCAGAGCACCCAGACAGCCGCCGCCACAUCCCGCUGCUUCAGAAGCGGAAGUAAGGCGCAUUUAGGACCUUUCUGGGUGAGGCUGCAAAAUGCUGAAGGGGGCACCUCUGCUCCAGAGAAAGGGAAAGAAGAAAACUGCGUGACAAAAAUACGUGGUGGGAAGUAGCACGGGGAAUCUUUGUCGAUUUUCUCUGACCACUUUGAGAAUUGUUUUUCCUUGAAAAGAAGAGAAAAGAAAAGACAACCUACCUAAAAUAUUAAUGCUAUUGUUAGAGUUCUACGAUAAUCCAAAGCAGAGUCAUUUUGAAAGAAAAGGUGGCCCACUGUGCUGAAGUCAAGCAGGCCACGCAAAGCUCUGACUUCAAAGCCAUUCCUUGAUAAAACAUCAAAACGGCCCAGGGUGGGCCAGCUGUUAUCUGGAAUUCUACAGAUAAUUCACUGAAACUCGGUGCUCACUAGCCGCAGAGAGUUUCCGCGGCAAGGCCGUUCCCAGGGUCCUGCUUGAUUUUGUUGCCGCGUCUCCUGUGUUUUGUUAGGCAGGGAGAGGUUUGGACCGUCUCUCAAUAAAACUCCGUGUUAGUGCACCGGAGAAACUUGACUCCUGCUUGGCCUCGUAGAGGCCGGAAAUGUGAACUGUGCCCUCCCUGGCCCUGAAGGUGACAUCGUCUUGCUCCUCCUUCUCCACCUGGAAGCACCAGUGACUGCUUUCCCCUGGGCUUUGGUUUGCUUUGGAAGAGCGGUGGCCUGCUUUCCACCAUGAAUAUCAGAAAUAUUGCCUUUUCAACUCUGUGCUGUAAAAUGUGAUGGUACUGCAUCUUCAUGAGGCACAGAGUUCCCCACUUUGGGUUUGCCAGUCCUGUGGGUUCAUUCUGGAGCCCCUCCCUCAUCUCCCAGUCUUCAAACGCCAGCCCAUCUAAUCCCUUUGCUGGAAUCACGCCGAUGGUCUCACCGAUCCUUCCCCCUUGCGUUCUUCCACUUCCCACCUCCAUGCAUUGCCCGAUCAGCAAGCCACAUUUCCCUUUAAAUGUGAAGACUCACCUGAAAGCCCACCACCUCUUCCGAGAAGCCUCCCCUGAUUAAGUGGGGAUGAAGGAGCUUUCGAAGCAUGGCUGACAGACUCCCGAUAAAUGAGAACACACACACACACACACACACACACCCAAAACAAACACAGAAACUCACAAGAAGAGCAAAUUACACAUUCGCCACUUUCGGACAGCACGCUUCUAUGAGGCUUCCUAGAUGCACGUGUGAAGGGGACUGCCACUCGCCGGAUAUGGAUGGCACGAAUGACACCGAAGUAAGUGGGUCCUGGCAGUGCUUCCGGGCUGGUGGACCACACCGCCCAGGAGGACCCUGCGUCUGAGAGCAGUAAAUGCCUUAACCACGUAGUGUUCUCGUCAGGGAGCUUUCACGACUCCAUGCCUCCAUCCUUCUUGGGCAAACAUGCUGGGACCAUGGUAAACGUGGAUAAAGGACCAAAACACUCUAGAGAAGGCCCUGCGGAGAGAAUGGUGGGCAAGCUUCCUGGCAAGUCUCCACGUUCAGCCUCAACUAAGGCUGCUGGAGGGCAAGGGGAUCUGUAGGGAGCCCUGGAUCGGAGGCAAUCACAUCAGAAGUAGAAGCAGACAUGUUCGAUCUCCAGAAGACCGCCCUCCGGGGCCAGAGUUAAUGCCCCUUGUGGAGGCCUGGGAGACUCAUGGCAUCAAAUGACCAGAACGAGGAGAACACAGACGGAAUGGUGAUAGCUGGCAAUUAGAACAUGGCACCAAACACCACUGCCACAGACGCUUUCUAGCUACAAAGCCACGCUAGGCAACCUUGAAGCAAAACAGUAUCGAUUUUGUGGUUGUAAAAACGUACCUUCAACUGCAGAACUCAGUUUUAUGACACCUUGAAUAAAAACAAAAAGUGGCAGUUAUAUAAUGGACCCAAAUCUCCUAGUCUUCUCAACACACACACAUGCUUCAGACCUAGAGUUUUUGCCGGCAUGUUGAGAGUUUAACUGAACAAGUAACAACUUGGAAAACAAGGUCGUUUUCAGUCCUCGAUUAGACCUGAUGGCGUCUUCACUUCCUCCGCUAAAACCGUUUGGGGGAGUUUUUCACUAAAGAAGGGAUCUGACGUGUUUUUGGCCAAAACAAAGGCCAAGUCUGUGUGAAUGACUAUUUCUGUAUGGAAGUCAUGCUGGAUAAUGAAUCGAUAAAACUUCACCCAGCAGGACACCGGUGUCUAGUACUUUCUAUUUAGUGCUAUGUAUAGAGAUCAUUUGAUACAUGUUGGGACAGGGUAUCUGUUGAGAUAUACAGAAGGUGAUUAAAAGCCAUGGUGUGAUCUGGCAACUUCCUUCUCUGAGGUGGUUGGGCCAAAGGCCAUUUACUGUUCAGAUGUGGUCAGUGUUCCAGCUCCCUGCAGGUCAGUGAACCGGCCCUCUGAGUGUGUCAGAUUGCUCAUGAACCAAGGAGACCUUACUCCUGACUGGACACUCAUGUGCCUUUUUGAUGCGUUUAAGGAUGAAAAUACUCAACUGAGAUCAACUAGACUGGGUGCAAUGAUUUGAUCAAACGAUCGUUGUUUUUUAGUGGGUUAUAGUUAUAAAUAAAUAAUAUUCCCCAAACCCUAUGUGAUGGCCAUGAUACUUGAGGCUGAGCAAAAAUGUCUAUUUACAGUUUCAUGUGAUUGGCAUUCUGGUUCUCUUUCCAACCAGAGGAGUUUCAAAUUAAAAAUGGAAACAAAACCCUUUCAAAGUCGGUAAGCCAAAUCGGGAUGAGUGUGAACACGCACUGAUUUUAACAGAUUAGGUUAACAAAGAGACAAACUUGCUCUCCGUUACAACUUUCUGAAAAAGCUGCUUUUAAGUUACCUAUCCAAUUUCAUCUUUCCCGCAGAACCAGUAGCGUCUGGUCAAUGUUUAACGAGGGACUCUCCAGGGCGAAAAGUAUGCAUAUAAAUGUAUGUAUGUUCAUUAUGGUUUUUACCGAUGGACAUGAUGUGUGGCACAUAACCUACAAAUAAUAAUAAAAUCCACAGUGCUCUUUACUGCACACUCCUUAUAGCCACUUGAUUUUCGCGGAAUGCUUUUGUUGAUUUUGGUCAAACUCUUGUAUUCAUAGCCAUCAAGUCAACUGUGAUUUGCACAGUUGCAAAUCAUUGCAAUUGCAAUCAUGCAUUGAAUGUCAUCCCAACCCCCUCUUUCCCUAAUAAAUGUAUUAUCAUUACA